rnacentral:rRNA from 1 species
CCCUUAGAUGUUCUGGGCCGCACGCGCGCUACACUGAUGCAUUCAACGAGUUUCUUCCUGGUCCGAGAGGAAUGGGUAACCUUUUGAAAGUGCAUCGUGAUAGGGAUAGACUAUUGCAAUUAUUGGUCUUCAACGAGGAAUUCCUAGUAGACGUAGUUCAUCAGACUGCAUCGAUUACGUCCCUGCCCUUUGUACACACCGCCCGUCGCUCCUACCGAUUGGGUGUGCUGGUGAAAUGUUCGGAUCGGCCGUUUGUCGCGGUUUCCGCGUCAUGUGGCUGAGAAGUUCAUUAAACCCUCCCACCGAGAGGAAGGAGAAGUCGUAACA